CCCUUUAGUGCUGCAGCUAACGCAUUAAGCACUCCGCCUGGGGAGUACGGCCGCAAGGCUGAAACUCAAAGGAAUUGACGGGGGCCCGCACAAGCGGUGGAGCAUGUGGUUUAAUUCGAAGCAACGCGAAGAACCUUACCAGGUCUUGACAUCCUCUGACAACCCUAGAGAUAGGGCUUUCCCCUUCGGGGGACAGAGUGACAGGUGGUGCAUGGUUGUCGUCAGCUCGUGUCGUGAGAUGUUGGGUUAAGUCCCGCAACGAGCGCAACCCUUGAUCUUAGUUGCCAGCAUUCAGUUGGGCACUCUAAGGUGACUGCCGGUGACAAACCGGAGGAAGGUGGGGAUGACGUCAAAUCAUCAUGCCCCUUAUGACCUGGGCUACACACGUGCUACAAUGGAUGGUACAAAGGGCUGCAAACCUGCGAAGGUAAGCGAAUCCCAUAAAGCCAUUCUCAGUUCGGAUUGCAGGCUGCAACUCGCCUGCAUGAAGCCGGAAUCGCUAGUAAUCGCGGAUCAGCAUGCCGCGGUGAA
rnacentral:rRNA from 1 species